rnacentral:rRNA from 1 species
AGUGAACGCUGGCGGUAGGCCUAACACAUGCCAGUCGAACGGCCGCACAGUAAGAGCUCGCUCCUACGGUUGGCGAGUGGCGGGCGGGUGAGGAAUACAUCAGCAUCUUCUUUUUCGUGGGGAAUAACGUAGGGCAACUUACGCUAAUACCGCAUACGAUCUACGGGUGAAAGCAGGGGAUCUUCGCACUUUUCGCGUUACAUUGAGCCGAUGUCGCAUUAGCUAGUUGGCUGGGUAAAGGCACACCAAGGCGACGCUGCGUAGCUGAUCUGAGAGGAUGAUCAGCCACACUGGAACUGAGACACGGUCCAGACUCCUACGGGAGGCAGCAGUAGGGAAUAUUGGACAAUGGGCGCAAGCCUGAUGCAGCCAUGCCGCGUGAGUGAAGAAGGCCUUCGGGUUGUAAAGCCCUUUUGUUGGGAAAGAAAAGCAGCAGAUGAACACCCCGCUGUUCUGACGGUACCCAAAGAGUAAGCACCGGCUAACUUCGUG